AAGUGGACAGUGCUAAAUAAAAGUUUAAGUGUUGUGUGUAUUAUGUUGUCUAUAUUCUUAGUGUAACCGGCAGAGUAGUCACUGUCUGGAUUAAGUUUGUCCCUCUGCAGCUAUGUUAGCUCCCUGAUGUAAUGAUGCCCAGCUGGCUGCUGAGUGAUUAACAAUUAAUUAGCAGCCAGGCUGGGUGCUAUAUAACAGUCUUCACUGUUUGGUUAAGAGAGAUUUCCUGGUCUACAGUUUUGUUGCGGUUUGGAUGCGUGGCUCUUUUGUGUAAUCAAGGUGUUGGAACGAUUGCCAGACGCUUCCGGGUAGUCGUGUGGUGUACUACUGAAGGUCUUGGGCAAGGCACCUGCCGGGUAGCUGUACCACAAUUAAGUCCCAGCAUCUAAAAGAGUAUUAAAGCAGCUGCUUAUAGGAGAGGUUCCUGGGUCCAUCCCUGUUACACUGCUAAUUAUAGGUUCCUGGUAGCAGCUAAUACCGGUCCUGGUCAUCCUUUGUGAGCCAAGUCUUUUUGUUGCAACUACUGUGCCUUUACUAUGACUGUGUGGCUCUUUUAAUUGUAUUUACCAAUAAAGUGUCUUAUUUUACUGAAAGCACAUCUGUUUAGUUCAUCUCUUGGUGUGUUUCUAUGAACCUGUUUGCCUUAGGUUAGGUGUUCAGCAGUAAUAAAGUAUAUCUUGGUGUGAGAGGCACCAGGUGGCGUAGUCAAGAACCGUCAAGCCUAGAUCUGGUUAAAGUUCCCCAAGGUCACAUAGUGGCGUAGUCGGCAGGGUCCUUGCACACAGAGACGCGUCUUUCCUUUUUUAUUUUAUUUUGGGGAGUUAUUUGUUUUAGUUUUUUCUUCUGUGUAUGUAUAUUUUGAU